UUCCCUCCCUGUACCUGUAGAUACACAGUGGUACUUCACCACUGCUUGAUCUAGACGAACUGCCCGCCUAGAUGAUGGUUGUUAGUUCCAUGGUAUAGCUGUGUACUAGUAGAUUGAAGAUGGUUUAAGCUUGGUAUGAUUUGCUUUGAUUCCUGAUGCACUUCACUGUUGCAAACUGAUGACCUGAGAUCUUCUCCAUGAAAGUUUGGACUUUUAGCCUCGUGUGUUUUUUCGUGAAUUUUGCACAUGUGUGAUGACCUGAGAUCUUCACUGUUGCACAUGUGUGAUGUUCUUUCGUGAAUUUUGAAAAUCCUUUUUUUUUUCCUGGAUCAUUGCAAUCGAGUAGGUCAUUUAACAUUUUAGCCUCGUGUUACUGCAGCUGCCAGUUUUGCUUCUUUGGCCAUUAUGUUUCAGACUUGGCCACCUUAGUUUUGUUGGGGUGUUCACUGGGAGGAAGAUAGCAUCCAAGUUCACUGAGUUUGAUACCUGUAUCAUGAUUCUGUCAAGGGCAAUCCAAGGAUUUGAACUGUGAUUGUUCUGAGACCACAAAUAACUCCGGUUCUUUCUUUUACCAGAGAAUCUGCAGAAUUCAGUGGCUGUUUGCGCCUAACUGCCAAUAUCACCCAGGGGUUUGUUGCUGCUGAGCAGAUAGUUACAGUCCAUAAUCCUACUUGCACUAUGGUUUAGUGUCUUGUUUUAUCUCCUACGGACCACAUAAAGUCGCUGUCAAACUACAAUUCAAGGGGCUGAAUUCAUGGACAAAAAAUGGCAGCUGUAUCUUUGGGUAGUGCCUUAUGGGUUGCUGAUUGAGACAAUAUAUAGGUGCAUUUUCCAAUGUUUAGCUCAUUAAUCAAGAGAGACAAUAGGCGCCUUAUUUGCUGGAAGUAUAUUCACUGGUUUGAGAUGAUAAUCUGAUGGUGCUUGGGGUGAAGAAAAGAGAGGUGUCCAUCGGCUCUGGCUCGAAAUCGAGGGAGAAGGUCGUGCUAGUGCAGGACGCGACACUCAAAGGCGUCUUCGAGGCCUUGAAGAAGGCGUGUGGCCCUUGAUGAUGUAUGUUAACUGUGAGUAUGUAAUAUAACCUGGCUGAGCAGAGUGUAUCAGCUGUAGGAACCGGUGCUCUUUCUCCCGUAUAAAUCGCCGCCAUACGCGCGACGGUGAACCCCGUAAAAGGCUGAAACCAUGGUAAUGGCCAGUCUUGUCCCUGAGAUGGUGACGGGGAACUGCUCUUUUUUCUGAAUCAGAAGAAAGAGUAACUGAGGUGUAUGUAUGGUUUGCAUCGACAGGCUGAGCCUCUGUAUCGCUGUUUGACAUUUGCUGUUGUGCGUCAGAUGGUGCAAUUAGCAGCCAUGGGUGUGUUAUGCGUUGUUUAAAAACACAUGUGCCUUUAUAUGUUGUUCAAGCAUGAGAAAUAAGCAGUCCUGAACUGACUGUCGAA